CCAUUCGCCUGCGCCGUCCCUGCCCACGAGCUCUUCCGCUCGUUGCAUCAAGCGCUCCGUUUCCAACCGGUUAAUGAUUGCACAAUCUAUUCUCUCGUGUUCUCUAAUAUAAAAAAAUCGAUCUACUGGUGAACCUUAUCUUAACUGCAUCCUUCUUAGGUUUCUCUCUUGCACUGCAGUGGGGUGACUCUUAAUUUUUCUACUCCUUAUGCACAAAGUUAAGGUAUUCUGACUGCAAGAUAUAUGCCACCAAUGACACCCUGUUCUGUUUGGGGUCCAAAUAUGCUAGGUGCGUUUGUAACAAAAAAAACUAACCCAGGCCGUGGAUUCGGCAUUGUAACUUGGACCGAUCUUUCAAUCUAUUAAUACAACGACGCGCAGUUCUCCUGCGCGUUCGAGAAAAAAAAUAUGCUAGGUAUGGUUUCUGAACAUUUUAUUCAGUUCCCCGAUUUUGGAAAAUUCUGGUGUCAAUAUUUUGUUGAUUGAAGUCCGUAUCAUCUGGUGGAAGAUAUUCUGAAUUGAAGCACUGUUUUUUCACACCAAAUCAAUGCACUUCUUUCAUUUCAAUAUUUUGUUAUAAAUUUAGAAAUGCUAUGCUCCUAAGUACAUCCUAAAUUUCUCAGUUUUUAGUUGGUUCUGCAGCAGUGUUGUCCAGGGAGUGCUAUUGGUAGAGCUUCCUUAUGCCCAGCAUGGUCCAUGACCCCAAGGCCCCAAUGGCUAUUUGUCAUGUCCAUUAAUAGGAUUACUUGGUAAGGCUUGAAAUUAGCCAAUUAAUAUAUACAAGAAUAGUAUUGUUUGCAUGAAAACAACAAUUUGAUAUGAAGAGGUCAGUUAAUAUAACAUGGCAUAGUUAAUUUAGUACAAUUUGCUUGUGAAUACUCCAGAGGAUGAUAUAGAAUGCAGGUAGCGUGGAGCAUGGUGAACAAUUAAUAUGUGUGAUUUUGCUGGAUAGCUUUCUAAGUUCUCAUUUGAUUAGUGAUUUUCAGAUCUUUUCUUAAUUCAGAUUCGAUAAUGGAUUGGGAUCAUGUGUUGUGCCCUAACAGAACAAUUAAACCUGUAUUUUUUUCCCUUGCCUGAUUCUAAUGUUCCCAUGUGCUGCAGCCUUCAGCUUUUAUGUGAUGGCUAUAACGACUCCUAAACAAGAAGUGUAACAAACAUAAUUAUGUCUCGCCUUGAGAAUUUUAAGGAUGCGGCUCUGGACUUAGUGAUGAGCCAUUGACGGAGCAUGGCCACCACUGGAUUGGCUAUGAUAUUUUGAAGUCGAUGCUGCUUGGGACGCUUCCCUUAGCUUGGCCCAACAGAAUGAAGAUUGCUCUAGGUGCUGCAAAAGUCCUAGCCUUUCUCCAGAGAGGUCCCAAACCAGUUAUUUAUACGGAUCCAUGGACAAGAAAGCGGCCUACAGGGGAGCAAAGCAUGAAGAAAGUACCUGACUGCCCAUGUUGUUCGUGAUUCGUAUUUAGCAAUUCUUCCUAGGAUCAGUUGUCCUUUCGUUUAAGGCAAGGAAUGUGAAUACAUUUACAUGUCAUGACAACCAUUUGAUAUGUCAUUAUUUCAAUUGUCAGGUUACCAUAUUAGGGUUGACCUCUGUUUUGCUUGUCUGAACAGUUAAUUUAACGACAUGCUCCUAAUGUAAACACCUCUAUGAUAUAACUUAUCAUCUUUGUACGUCA